AAUAGAAAACACGAGGCACGAUUUUUACUGCCAAACUGAAAGGGACAAAUAAAACUACGUGGUCUAAAAUUUUAAUGAUAAUAACAUUUGCAGGGGUGUGUAUAUUUAUAAGAUACAUGUAGAUCGAUAUAUCAAAUUUGAGCUGAAUUUGUGCAACGGUGGUUGGUAAAAUGAUCGAAAAGUGAUUUUUUCAUACUUUUUUUGCAAAGUGUAAGAGGCACAACUCUGUCAAAAAUCAUUGCACCGGAACAAUAUUGGAACUCGGAGUGUAUAUUAAUAAGCGCACGCGGUGGAAUUUGCAGAUAAAAAUAAUCCUGAAUACAAUGGAGAUCCACUAAGUAUCAGCAUGCCCUUUCACAACAGAGUACAUCGGCUCGUCAAGAACGUAUAUUUCUUCUUUCAUUGAAGUGAAGGGUCGCUGUUGCGGUAUUUUCUCACUUCAACUAAAUGUGUGUGCGGAUGGGGGAGUUAACGCCUCUAUUUACAAUUCAAAAAUAACAAAAACUGUCCUGUUUCCUUAAAGGAGCUUUACAUUCCUGAAGGACUCCAUAGACAUGGACAUUAUAAUGUGUGUGGGCAGCUGGUUCCCGAUCCUAAUGGUGGUUAAAUGAUUCCUUGAAGACGUUGAAGCGACAAAAUAGGAUCAAGAACAGCUGUUAGUGUCCCCAGUGACUGGUCCUGUCUGGUUGAAUUGGGGAGACAGUUCUAUGGCAAAUACGGCAAAAACGGAUAUUUAGAUCUUGACAGAUUGUGUCACCUGAAGUAUGUAUAUUGUGACCUAAUUGUACCAUAGCUCAACGAAUUGCAUAAGGACAUGUCGACCCGCAGCAAUUCCUAUCAAAUCCUAAAAUUAUAGACAAGUUCCAGGAUCAGAUACCAUUUGUCACUCGUUGGGUACCUAACAGAUCGCACAACAGUGGAAACCUAGUAUAAUAGAAAUCAUUCAAAAGUUAAUCAUUGGACAGACAACUGAAAGUGCAGCAAGGGAAAACCUCGAUGCGUUGACUCAAAACAAUUAGGCCCGAUGGAACAAACAUCAUACUGUCUUGAAUAAUCUUACUUCAUGUAUAUUCCACCGAUAUUAAAAACUCAGCCAGUAGAUUGUCGGAUUCUUAUACUAAAUUGUUUCUUUUUGAGAGCGAUUAUUUCACGAAUAUAUCAGAAUUUUUACUAGCCAUGUUCAUCACGAUAAACAUAUAACUCGUGUUUACACGAGUAUCCUUUAUUUUACUCUUGGGUAAAUUAUUGUAACUAUAAAGAUAAAUCAGACUAAACCAUGUUGCUGUCAGAUUGUGAGAAUCUCAAUUCAUGUUAUUAGUUAUUGGAAAAUUAUCAAGAUUAUUCCACUUGUAUCAAAUAACGUCCUUAACGAGAGAAAAGCAAUUCAGGAACUAUACAAUCUAUUUUGUUUCCUGGUGGUAUACGUGCAUGCACUCAAGGUGUAUUGUAAAUUCAUUGAUUAAUGAUACAAAGUUCAAAUUGUUAUUAAGAAUGAUCAAUUCUAUUAAAGGUUUCUAUAAGAUCCCCAGAAUUUCUCUCGAAAAAUCUAUUUUAGCGUUACAAGUACACAUGUUUACAUCAUAUACGAGGUCUUCAUGUGAAUUUUGGGAAACAAUUUCUGUUGUCUGAUUAAACAGGACUAGAUAGCCGUGACCGUUUUAGGCUAUGUUCAUGUCCUUUUAAUACAUUAGAAAUUAGAAAAAAAAAAUUGAAAAGUUUAACCUAAAAUAUAAAAAGGUUUCUUUGCUAAAUAAAAGUUUAAGGUUACAUUUUAAAUAUAUAAGGUAGAUCUAAUAGAUGUUUCGUUGACCCCUCAGACUUCUUCAAACUCUUUGUUGGACAUAAUAAAACUGUAUACAUUUGUAACCUACAUGGAGAAAAUUCUCACGAAGCAUUAUGGU